UACGAAGGGGGCUAGCGUUGCUCGGAAUUACUGGGCGUAAAGCGUGCGUAGACGGUUGCGUAAGUCAGAUGUGAAAGCCCCGGGCUCAACCUGGGAAUUGCAUUUGAGACUGCGUAGCUAGGGUGCGGAGGAGGGAAGCGGAAUUUCCGGUGUAGCGGUGAAAUGCGUAGAUAUCGGAAGGAACACCAGUGGCGAAAGCGGCUUCCUGGUCCAGCACCGACGUCAGGCACGAAAGCGUGGGGAGCAAACAGG
rnacentral:rRNA from 1 species